ACGAUCAGUAGCCGACCUGAGAGGGUGACCGGCCACAUUGGGACUGAGACACGGCCCAAACUCCUACGGGAGGCAGCAGUGGGGAAUAUUGCACAAUGGGGGAAACCCUGAGGCAGCGACGCCGCGUGAGCGAUGAAGUAUUUCGGUAUGUAAAGCUCUAUCAGCAGGGAAGAAAAUGACGGUACCUGAUAAGAAGCCCGGUAAUACGUGCCAGCAGCCGCGGUAAUACGUAGGGGGCAAGCGUUAUCCGGAUUUACUGGGUGUAAAGGGAGCGUAGACGGCAUGGCAAGCCAGAUGUGAAGCCCGGGGCUCAAUCCCCUGGGUAUCUGCAAUCUUGGAACUGUCAGGCUAGAGUGUCGGAGAGGAAAGCGGAAUUCCUAGUGUAGCGGUGAAAUGCGUAGAUAUUAGGAGGA
rnacentral:rRNA from 1 species